GACGAACGCUGGCGGUGUGCUUAACACAUGCAAGUCGAACGGUAAGGCCCUUUCGGGGGUACACGAGUGGCGAACGGGUGAGUAACACGUGAGUAACCUGCCCUCAUCUCUGGGAUAACAGUCGGAAACGGUUGCUAAUACUGGAUAUGAGCUUGCAAGGCAUCUUGUGGGUUGGAAAGAUUUUUUUGGUUGGGGAUGGACUCGCGGCCUAUCAGCUUGUUGGUGAGGUAGUGGCUCACCAAGGCUUCGACGGGUAGCCGGCCUGAGAGGGCGACCGGCUACAUUGGGACUGAGAUACGGCCCAAACUCCUACGGGAGGCAGCAGUGGGGAAUAUUGCACAAUGGACGGAAGUCUGAUGCAGCAACGCCGCGUGCGGGAUGACGGCCUUCGGGUUGUAAACCGCUUUCAAUUGUGACGAAGCUUUUUGUGACGGUAGCAGUAGAAGAAGCACCGGCUAACUACGUG
rnacentral:rRNA from 1 species